rnacentral:rRNA from 1 species
CUGCUCAGAUUGAACGCUGGCGGCAUGCCUUUACACAUGCAAGUCGAACGGCAGCACGGAGCUUGCUCUGGUGGCGAGUGGCGAACGGGUGAGUAAUAUAUCGGAACGUACCCUGGAGUGGGGGAUAACGUAGCGAAAGUUACGCUAAUACCGCAUACGAUCUACGGAUGAAAGUGGGGGAUCGCAAGACCUCAUGCUCGUGGAGCGGCCGAUAUCUGAUUAGCUAGUUGGUAGGGUAAAAGCCUACCAAGGCAUCGAUCAGUAGCUGGUCUGAGAGGACGACCAGCCACACUGGAACUGAGACACGGUCCAGACUCCUACGGGAGGCAGCAGUGGGGAAUUUUGGACAAUGGGCGAAAGCCUGAUCCAGCAAUGCCGCGUGAGUGAAGAAGGCCUUCGGGUUGUAAAGCUCUUUUGUCAGGGAAGAAACGGUGAGAGCUAAUAUCUCUUGCUAAUGACGGUACCUGAAGAAUAAGCACCGGCUAACUACGUGCCAGCAGCCGCGGUAAUACGUAGGGUGCAAGCGUUAAUCGGAAUUACUGGGCGUAAAGCGUGCGCAGGCGGUUUUGUAAGUCUGAUGUGAAAUCCCCGGGCUCAACCUGGGAAUUGCAUUGGAGACUGCAAGGCUAGAAUCUGGCAGAGGGGGGUAGAAUUCCACGUGUAGCAGUGAAAUGCGUAGAUAUGUGGAGGAACACCGAUGGCGAAGGCAGCCCCCUGGGUCAAGAUUGACGCUCAUGCACGAAAGCGUGGGGAGCAAACAGGAUUAGAUACCCUGGUAGUCCACGCCCUAAACGAUGUCUACUAGUUGUCGGGUCUUAAUUGACUUGGUAACGCAGCUAACGCGUGAAGUAGA